AGCGAACGCUGGCGGCAGGCCUAACACAUGCAAGUCGAGCGGCCGUAGCAAUACGGCAGCGGCAGACGGGAGAGUAACACGUGGGAACGCGCCCUUCGGUUCGGGAUAACCCAGGGAAACUUGGGCUAAUACCGGAUACGCCCUUACGGGGAAAGAUUUAUUGCCGAAGGAACGGCCCGCGUCCGAUUAGCUAGUUGGUGAGGUAACGGCUCACCAAGGCGACGAUCGGUAGCUGGUCUGAGAGGAUGACCAGCCUCACUGGGACUGAGACACGGCCCAGACUCCUACGGGAGGCAGCAGUGGGGAAUAUAGGACAAUGGGCGCAAGCCUGAUCCAGCCAUGCCGCGUGGGUGAUGAAGGCCCUAGGGUUGUAAAGCCCUUUCAGCGGGGAAGAUAAUGACGGUACCCGCAGAAGAAGCCCCGGCUAACUUCGUGCCAGCCGCCGCUGUAA
rnacentral:rRNA from 1 species